AAAAACAAUCCUAAAUUAUCUUGCCUCUUAGCAUCACAUUGUCAGCAGCCACUAUCCACAAGCAGCUUGUGUAUGUUGCCUGUUGCUGUCUCUGCCUGUUUAAUUACUCACUUGAUGUCUUUCGAACAAAGGCAUAUCUUUACCUGAAUUGUUACUUUCAGAGUGGGAAGUUAAGAAGACACAGGAGAAAGGAGGACUUAUGGGGGUGCAGUAUACAAGAUGUGGAGGCAGCAAUUUCCAGAUGAUUGUGGAAGGACAAGAGAUUGAGAAGAAUGACAGUGCUUUAUGCCCACCAUCAAAGCCUGCGAGACAAGAAAGGAAGACAUGAAAAAGCAAAGUUGGGCAGCAGCUGAUCAAGAAGGCAGUAUUCAGGAAGAAAACAGUUCUGAAAAGGGAGAAAAGUAAAGCAGACAUUGAAAGGCACCCUCCACAGGGGUGUGAUCAGCAAUAUCAAGCAUGGCUAUUCAUUGCCACAAUGGUGGGAAGAUGAUGCUCAAAAGCAAACUGAGGGUGUCUGUGGGGUUCCAGAAAUGGAACUGUAAUGCCCAUGUGGUUUUGCCUGUACCAGAGGACAUGUUUCUAGAAGACAUGGUGACUGAAAAUCCCUGCUACAAAAGCAAUUCCCAGCCAAAGCCUGAGAAGUAUUGGAAGAAUGCUGCUGCUUUAAUACCUCUGUGCAAAGGGCAUUGAUGACCAGCCAAAGAGUAACAAGGCUGACUUUUCUAGUGUCAUCUCUCAUGACCUACAUUUUUAUAAAUGUUUAUUUCACCGUAUUAAUAAAUGCUCAGUGAAAUAUC